rnacentral:rRNA from 1 species
GAUGAACGCUGGCGGCGUGCCUAAUACAUGCAAGUCGAGCGAACAGACGAGGAGCUUGCUCCUCUGACGUUAGCGGCGGACGGGUGAGUAACACGUGGAUAACCUACCUAUAAGACUGGGAUAACUUCGGGAAACCGGAGCUAAUACCGGAUAACAUGUUGAACCGCAUGGUUCAACAGUGAAAGAUGGUUUUGCUGUCACUUAUAGAUGGAUCCGCGCCGCAUUAGCUAGUUGGUAAGGUAACGGCUUACCAAGGCAACGAUGCGUAGCCGACCUGAGAGGGUGAUCGGCCACACUGGAACUGAGACACGGUCCAGACUCCUACGGGAGGCAGCAGUAGGGAAUCUUCCGCAAUGGGCGAAAGCCUGACGGAGCAACGCCGCGUGAGUGAAGAAGGUCUUCGGAUCGUAAAACUCUGUUAUUAGGGAAGAACAAAUGUGUAAGUAACUAUGCACGUCCUGACGGUACCUAAUCAGAAAGCCACGGCUAACUACGUG